AACAAAGCCAUUUUAAAUAUAGAGUCUGCUUGUUGAUUUUGGAGAAACAGCAAGACAAAUAAUCCUGUAAAGUAUCAGUGGAGACCACAUGGACAGCUUGGACUUGCCAUUCCUGGCUCCUUCCCCUCCCCACUGGAGCGGUAGCAGAGGUUCUUUUCCCGUACAGGUUAUUACCGAAAAUUGAGUAGAGUUCCUUGUGCUAUACAUAAAAUGUCACUUGGAUUUAUCACUGGGAUUCAUGGAAUCAACGCAACUACACACUUUGCUGUCUGUGCAUGAAAUGAAUACAGCUGUGAAGCGACCAAUUACCAGCAAACUUUGAACAAAGUGAUGUGAUUGAUUACUGAUCAUGAUGCACAUCUGUUUUUUACAUAGUUGUGUAUGGAUUGAAGAGCUAGCAGCAAAGUCUGUAACUUUAUGCAAUUACAGUUAAUAUACUGUGGUAAUUAAAAUUUGAACCAUGUUGUUGGGA